UACGUAGGUGACCAGCGUUGUCCGGAUUUACUGGGCGUAAAGAGCGCGCAGGCGGUCGUUCAAGUCGAGUGUGAAAGCCCCCGGCUCAACUGGGGAGGGUCAUUCGAUACUGAUCGACUGGAAGGCAGGAGAGGGAAGCGGAAUUCCCGGUGUAGUGGUGAAAUGCGUAGAUAUCGGGAGGAACACCAGUGGCGAAGGCGGCUCCUCGGCGUGUUCUUGACGCUGAGGCGCGAAAGCUAGGGGAGCAAACGGGAUGAGAAA
rnacentral:rRNA from 1 species